GGAAUGCUGAGGAUUAAAUUCCAAGCCCUUCCCUGCCGGCUGGGCCCCUAGGAAGGGAGCCAGGCACCAGUUACCAUCUGGGCUCUCGGGCGCCCCUUACUGAACGUUUUUGCCUCCUGGUUUAACACCUGCCUGGGUUCAGAGGACCCCGUCUCCUGAAGGUGUUUUGCUCCUGCCAUCCCGGCGAUGCCUUUUGGGUGAAUACCUGAACUACCAGAAAGAGAAAGUCCGGCACUAGUUCACGGCAAGAAAUUCCGCAAGGUUUCUUACACGGACUGCCCUGCUACACUCUUCACCCACGAUGCAGAUUUAUAGUGUUGAAUACAUGGGUGAAGAUGCAAAAGACUGCAAUGGUUUCUAAGGCACCAAAGAACUUCCUUCGAAUGUUAUUCCGACAUCCCAAAUAGUGCUUUGAAAACACCGUGAAUAUUGA